CUGGCCUAAAACACAUGAUAGAUGUACUAUUCCCACUUUCUUAAUUAUUCUUAACCGAGGUUUGUAAUAAUUAUAUCUGUUACAUCCAUUUUUAAUUUAAAUUGUAUUUUCAUUAAAUUUGAAUUUAUCUUGUUUUUAAAAUAGUUUUUGGGUCUUAAAUGUUGUGCCAAGGGGACCCAUCCCCUGUUUUGUCCCCGGUUCCCUUUCAUUUUUCUUUUAUUUUUCUGAAAGUCUUCCUCUUUCUCUCUUCUCCCUCACAUCACUCUCUCUCGGCUCUCUCUAUCUCAGCCCAUCCGAGAGCUUUUCUUAUCAACAAACAACACCACAACAACAUCAACAUCUCCAUUAGCACCCUAGUGAGCUUAGAAUCGAAGAAAGAACACCCCAAACCCUUUUCUUCCUUUCGGCCGGAACUGUUCAUCGUCUUCCCCGAUGAGUUUCUUGAUUUUUCAAUGUUGAAAAUAGCUCGGGAAAGCUUUUCCAAAUUUUCCGGCGAGCACCGCCACUUUCGACGCAUUUUCCGGCCAAAACACGGUGAUUUGGCCGGCGUACAAGUUUCCGGUGACCUCCGAGGCUUUCGAGGCAUUUUACGGUCAAAUCACGGCGAUUUAGACGUCGUGUGAGGUAACAUUCUCUUCGUCACUUCGAGAACUACAACUUUCGUUUUUGAAUCAAUCGAUUUCGUUGAGUUUUGACAAAGUUAUGACCGUUUAAAGUUGGUGUAGAUUUUUUGGCCAAAUUCCGGUCUUCUUCUUCCUUGGGUCCUGCGACCCACCAAACCCAAGCCCUUUGGGCCUUUCCUGCCGAGCCCAACCCAAAACCUAUUUCAGUUUUUAUUAUUUAUUUUAUUAAUUGUUUAAAGUUAAAGGCAUUUGGACCAAAUUAGCUAAGACCCUAAGCUUUUUUAUCUAAAAACCCAAAACCCUUAGACUUAAGGUCUUCGGGCCUUUUGAACCAGGGCCCUAAGCCCUCUCCUCUAAACCUAGCCCACCUAAUUAGCUAAACCCUUAACCCUAACCUGUCUAAACCCUUUAUGUGGAAUAUUCCGUCAGGGAAUAUUCUAGGAAUAUUCUAAGAAUAUUCUAUUGACUUUUACGAAAUUUAUCCGGGACUCUUCUUAAGGUAAUUCGACGUUCUGAAUCCGUUUCCAAUGUCAGUUUUCCAAAUUCAAUUGCUAUUAUAUAGUUUUAUUUAUUGGAUUCUUUAUGUGCUUAGAAGCAAUUAUAGUGGUGUUUCUGUCUUCGCUAGUUGCGUGGCUCUUCGGUGGCAAAGUUUUGUGAGUGGACCCCUUCUAAAAAAAUGCAUGUUUUAAUAGUAGAAAUGCAUACAUGAAAGGCAUGAUUUAAUGAUUACGUUUUAUUAAACGUUUUGAGAUAACAUGUUUACUAAGGGUAGGUUGAAUUAUUACUAUUUUUCCUAUAACUCAUGUUCUUAUAGAAUAUCCGAUGGAUGACGAUAUGAUAUUUAGAACAUGUUUCGAACAUCUCUUUAUAGUAUAGAUGAUGGAUGAUUUUAUACUAUGAAGUUGCUUUUCAAUAUAUAUAUGUUCAAUGGUUUUGUACUUACCUAGUGGUUCCUUUCAUUACGGGACGUAGGGAUAGGUUCCGGUCCGUCCGGGCGACGUUUUGGUGUUGGCAUAGGGCCUGGAGUGUGUUUCUUUUGGCUAUUUAGCACAGGGACGGGGAGCCGACGUGGGGCCUGAAGUGUAUUUUUCUCUGACUGUCUGCUCAGAGACAGGAAGUUGGCAUGGGGCCUGUGGGUUAUCGGACAUUUCAGUAGUGAUUAUUACAUAUGAGUUAUGAUUUGAGACAUUGCACGACAUGCUAGGUUUUGGAAAACCUAUGUUUAACAUUAUAUAUGUGUUU